GUGAGGAAUAUUGGACAAUGGGCGCAAGCCUGAUCCAGCCAUGCCGCGUGCAGGAAGACGCAUCUAUGGUGUGUAAACUGCUUUUGUACGGGAAGAAACACUCCCUCGUGAGGGAGCUUGACGGUACCGUAAGAAUAAGGAUCGGCUAACUCCGUGCCAGCAGCCGCGGUAAUACGGAGGAUCCAAGCGUUAUCCGGAAUCAUUGGGUUUACAGGGUCCGUAGGCGGUUUAAUAAGUCAGUGGUGAAAGCCCAUCGCUCAACGAUGGAACGGCCAUUGAUACUGUUAGACUUGAAUUACAAGGAAGUAACUAGAAUAUGUAGUGUAGCGGUGAAAUGCUUAGAUAUUACAUGGAAUACCAAUUGCGAAGGCAGGUUACUACUUGUGGAUUGACGCUGAUGGACGAAAGCGUGGGGAGCGAACAGGAUUAGAUACCCGUGUAGUCC
rnacentral:rRNA from 1 species